GCGAAUACCGGAGAAUGUUAUCACGGGAGACACACGGCGGGUGCUAACGUCCGUCGUGAAGAGGGAAACAACCCAGACCGCCAGCUAAGGUCCCAAAGUCAUGGUUAAGUGGGAAACGAUGUGGGAAGGCCCAGACAGCCAGGAUGUUGGCUUAGAAGCAGCCAUCAUUUAAAGAAAGCGUAAUAGCUCACUGGUCGAGUCGGCCUGCGCGGAAGAUGUAACGGGGCUAAACCAUGCACCGAAGCUGCGGCAGCGACACUGUGUGUUGUUGGGUAGGGGAGCGUUCUGUAAGCCUGUGAAGGUGGCCUGUGAGGGUUGCUGGAGGUAUCAGAAGUGCGAAUGCUGACAUAAGUAACGAUAAAGCGGGUGAAAAGCCCGCUCGCCGGAAGACCAAGGGUUCCUGUCCAACGUUAAUCGGGGCAGGGUGAGUCGACCCCUAAGGCGAGGCCGAAAGGCGUAGUCGAUGGGAAACGGGUUAAUAUUCCCGUACUUGGUGUUACUGCGAAGGGGGGACGGAGAAGGCUAUGUUGGCCGGGCGACGGUUGUCCCGGUUUAAGCGUGUAGGUGUGUGUUCCAGGUAAAUCCGGUUCACUUUAACACUGAG
rnacentral:rRNA from 1 species